rnacentral:rRNA from 1 species
GACGAACGCUGGCGGCGUGCUUAACACAUGCAAGUCGAACGGCAAGGCCCUGCUUUUGUGGGGUGCUCGAGUGGCGAACGGGUGCGUAACACGUGAGUAACCUGCCCUUGUCUUUGGGAUAACUUCAGGAAACUGGGGCUAAUACCGGAUAGGAGCUCCUGCUGCAUGGUGGGGGUUGGAAAGUUUCGGCGGUUGGGGAUGGACUCGCGGCUUAUCAGCUUGUUGGUGGGGUAGUGGCUUACCCAGGCGUUGACGGGUAGCCGGCCUGAGAGGGUGACCGGCGACAUUGGGACUGAGAUAAGGCCCAGACUCCGACGGGAGGCAGCAGUGGGGAAUAUUGCACAAGGGGCGGAAGCCUGAUGCAGCAACGCCGCGUGCGGGAUGACGGCCUUCGGGUUGUAAACCGCUUUCGCCUGUGACGAAGCGUGAGUGACGGUAAUGGGUAAAGAAGCACCGGCUAACUACGUG